GACGAACGCUGGCGGCGUGCUUAACACAUGCAAGUCGAACGGAAAGGCCCUGCUUUUGUGGGGUGCUCGAGUGGCGAACGGGUGAGUAACACGUGAGUAACCUGCCCUUGACUUUGGGAUAACUUCAGGAAACUGGGGCUAAUACCGGAUAGGGCUCCUGCCGCCUGGUUGGGGGUGGGAAGGUUCGGCGGUUGGGGAUGGACUCGCGGCUUAUCAGCUUGUUGGUGGGGUAGUGGCUUACCAAGGCUUUGACGGGUAGCCGGCCUGAGAGGGUGACCGGCCACAUUGGGACUGAGAUACGGCCCAGACUCCUACGGGAGGCAGCAGUGGGGAAUAUUGCACAAUGGGCGGAAGCCUGAUGCAGCAACGCCGCGUGCGGGAUGACGGCCUUCGGGUUGUAAACCGCUUUCGCCUGUGACGAAGCGUGAGUGACGGUAAUGGGUAAAGAAGCACCGGCUAACUACGUG
rnacentral:rRNA from 1 species